UGGUGAACUGGUUCAAGAAGAUCCGGUUACAUCUAGUGAUUCAUUCAUGAAAUGGAUAUCAUUGAACUGUUGUGUUUUGAACUAGCUCACAACAGACAUGGAAGAGAAGACAAUGAUGUAUAAAGUCAUAGUUUUUGCUAUUUUUGGACCAAAAUGUAUUUUCGAUGCUUCAAAAAAUGGAACUGACCCUCUGAUGUCACAUGGACUUUGAUGAUGUUUUUCUUACCUUUCUGGACUUUGUCAGUAGACUGUACACAAAGUUUCAAUGGAGGAACUGAGAGUUCUCGGACUAAAUCUAAAAUAUCUUAAACUGUGUCCCGAAGAUGAACAGAGGUCUUACGGGUUUGGAACGACAUGAGGGCUGACUUUGCUUGCGUGGUCACGUGACACCAUUCUAGCCAAUCUGAGGCCCUCAUCCAUGAGAGUUUGUUGCAUGAGCUGGCGACUCCAGUUGAUGAGGCCAGUGGUGUCGGUGAGGGGGUGAGGGGAUGAGGAGGGGUGCAACUGAGGGCUGAUAUCUAUCAAGACACACAGAAUUAGACAAACAUGCCUCUCAAUCAAAUGUUACGGUUUCUUUCAGCAAUGAUGUUUUUCUCUGACACGAGUAUGAAUGGAUACAAAUUAGCUUUGUUAUCUUUCUAUGAUUGAUCUCUACGUCACUAUUAUCACUUAUUGUGUGUGAACUGAUCCUUCAUGGCUAUGAUGAACAUUAUGACAUUUGCAAUAAAUGCAACAAAGAAUGUGAGACAAUGAUGGUUUGAGGUUACAUGCCCAAGAUUUACUGACAUACACUGGACAUUCAUAAAUAUAUCAAUGUUUAAAACAGAAGUAUCGAAAAGAAGGAACCUCACCUGGUGUUAUGCUAUCUAGACUUUCUCCAGAGAGGCUGUUGUCAUCCGCUGUAGAUCUGUUGUCACUGUUGGCUACUGGAUCCUUAGACAGUCUGUCGGAAUCUGUGAUCUGAAAGAAGCAGUACUUCAUUUUUUUAAUGAAAGCAUUACAGGUUUUGUCACUUGUGGUUGGUUUGUUACAUUAUUAUUACAGAUAUGAGUGCAAUAGUACUACAAAAGGAGUUCACAACUUGAUGUCCAAUGUAAGCUCCAGUGUAACUCUCCAGUGUACAUCUUUAUUUUAAUCCUAUAAGGGAACCUGUUCAUUUUCUUGUCAUUUUUGUGGCUAUAUAGUCAAGUCACUAUUAAUAAAGUGUAAGUAUCUGCCCAAAUUAUACCUGGGCAUAUUCCUUAAA